rnacentral:rRNA from 1 species
GGAAGGAGAAGUCGUAACAAGGUUUUCCGUAGUUGAACCUGCGGAAGGAUCAUUG